GGGUAAGAGGAGGAAAUGCUGGAGGUUUAAGGAGGGAGUAGCAGCCCACAGAGGAAGCAGCCUCAUCGGGAAGCAACCUGGUGACUGUCAGAGCAAGAACAAAGAAACUUUCAAAGAGAUGAAGCUCGAGGACUGAGAUGGCGGAAUAUGCGGCAAGGUGCUCAUUCUUGGGCUUUUGGGCCCAGGUCCCUCUGGAUUUGUGGACACAGCAAGGAGAAAUGGACAGUAAUCCAGGCAGAUAGCUGUCUGGCAUAAAAUGUCACAUGCCACAAGUUAAGCAAAAAUGCACCUCUCAUCUGUCCUUGAAAUACAUUAUUGUAGCUCAAAAGUCAGGAAAUGUACAAAAGUCACUUUGAUGAUGAACCCGAGAGAAUUUCAACAAGGCCUUCACCAAAGUAAUAGGAUUUAUUUUUCCUGAGGCAGAAGCAGUAUACUGAACAAAAUUAUACCUUUUUUUUUGGCAAUGAGGAAAGCAUUUAAGGAUCAAGAAUAUUCAACCCUAUGCCUUUUUGCCAAAAUCUUAUUGUUGAUGAGUUGGAGCGAUAUCCUAAUGCUGAACCAAUCAAUUCCCAGAGUCACAAAAUAAAUGAAAAGAGACACUUUUCUAUUAAACUUUAAUAUUUGAGAAUUUUACUGGGAAUGGACAAACCUUUGAAAGCUGAUCAUUCACAUUGUUUUUAAAAGUUAAUUUAUGCCUAUUUAGCUCUUUAUCUAAUUGUAAGGUAUAACCAACCUAUGUGGAAGGAAAAUCUGAAAAAAAUCAGUACCAUCUGUGUUUAGCGUUUAAAAGGUUGCCUUUUUCCUUUCUAUUUAAUUCAGAUGUACAACCUCAAAGAUUAUUCAUGAUGAAUUUUAGCUUUAAUGUA